GACGAACGCUGGCGGCGUGCUUAAUGCAUGCAAGUCUCACGUGUUUCCUUUGGUAGGUCGGUGGCGACCGGCCGAUGAACACGUGGGGACCUAUUCUUUAGUGCGGGUCCAUACAGCGAAAGCUGCGCUAAUCUCGCAUAUCCUCUGCGGAGGAAAGCGUGGCAUGACGCGCUGCAGACUGGCCCUGCGGCCCUUUAGGUGGCUGGCGGGGUAACUGCCCACCAAGCCCGUGACGGGUCGCUGGUCUGGGAGGAAGACCAGCCAGACUGGGACUGAGAUACGGCCGAGACUCCUACGGGAGGAAGCAGCAAGGAAUUUUCGGCAAUGGGCGCAAGCCUGACCGAGCAACGCCGCGGGCGGGAUGACGGCCUUCGGGUUGUAAACCGCUUUUGGGGGGGAAGAAACAGACGGUACCCCCAGAAUCAGCCCCGGCUAACUCUGUG
rnacentral:rRNA from 1 species